UACAGAGGUGGUAAGCGUUGUUCGGAAUUACUGGGCGUAAAGGGCGCGUAGGCGGCCCGAUAAGUCCCGCGUGAAAGCCCCCGGCUCAACUGGGGAACGGCGCGGGAAACUAUCGGGCUUGAGUUCGGGAGAGGGAAGCGGAAUUCCGGGUGUAGCGGUGAAAUGCGUAGAUAUCCGGAGGAACACCAGUGGCGAAGGCGGCUUCCUGGACCGACACUGACGCUGAGGCGCGAAAGCUAGGGGAGCAAACGGG
rnacentral:rRNA from 1 species